rnacentral:lncRNA from 1 species
UCCCUUUACCAUUAUGUAAUGGCCUUCUUUGUGUCUUUUGAUCUUUGUUGGUUUAAAGUCUGUUUUAUCAAAGACUAGGAUUGCAACCCCCCCUUUUUUUCUUUUUUUUGCUUUCCAUUUGCUUGGCAGAUCUUUCUCCAUCCCGUUAUUUCAAGCCUAUGUGUGUCUCUGCAUGUGAGAUGGGUCUCCUGAAUACAGCACACUGAUGGGU